UUACUGCUAUCGAGAUUCGAUUAAGCCAUGCGAGUUGAAUGUUCUUCGUGAACAUGGCGGACUGCUCAGUAACACGUGGACAACCUACCCUUGGAUCUGGGAUAAACCCGGGAAACUGGGCAUAAUACCGGAUAAGCCACAUAUGCUGGAAUGCUUUGUGGCUCAAAGCUCCGGCGUCCAAGGAUGGGUCUGCGGCCUAUCAGGGUAGUAGUGGGUGUAAUGUACCUACUAGCCUACGACGGGUACGGGUUGUGAGAGCAAGAGCCCGGAGAUGGAUCCUGAGACACCAAUCCAGGCCCUACGGGGUGCAGCAGGCGCGAAAACUUUACAAUGCGGGAAACCGCGAUAAGGGAAUCUCGAGUGCCAGCAUAUAAUGUUGGCUGUCCAGAUGCCUAAAAAGCAUUUGUUAGCAAGGGCCGGGCAAAACCGGUGCCAGCCGCCGCGGUAACACCGGCGGCCCGAGUGGUAACCGUUAUUAUUGGGUCUAAAGGGUCUGUACCCGGCCGAAUAAGUCUCUUGGGAAAUCUGGCAGCUUAACUGUCAGGCAGUCAGGGGAUACUGUUCGGCUUGGGACCGGGAGAGGUGAGAGGUACCUCGGGGGUAGGGGUGAAAUCUUGUGAUCCUCGAGGGACCACCAGUGGCGAAGGCGUCUCACCAGAACGGGUCCGACGGUAAGGGACGAAAGCUAGGGGCGCGAACCGGAUUAGAUACCCGGGUAGUCCUAGCCGUAAACGAUGCUUGCUAGGUGUCAGCCACGGUGCGACCGUGGUUGGUGCCGUAGGGAAGCCGUGAAGCGAGCCACCUGGGAAGUACGGCCGCAAGGCUGAAACUUAAAGGAAUUGGCGGGGAGCACUACAACGGUGGAGC
rnacentral:rRNA from 1 species